ACUGACCAUGACAAGAUUUGAUGACUUCCCCAAUUCCAAGAUACUUUCAGUAAGUACAUAAAGAAGCUUCCUUAGGGGGGCCAAGUUAACAAAAACAGACACCCAACCCAAAAAACAAUGAAGAAAGAAGAUCAACAAGCAAUCAAUCAGUAACAAGCAAUAGGCAACCAGCAUCUCCUAUUUCUGGUACGUCACUGAAGAGCAGUGCAUCAAUUCAAUUCAUCAUGCCCCUAAAACCGCAAGUGACGUGUACAAUCUUCCUGUUGUGCAUCUGCCUCUCUAUAACAAAACAAGCGUACCUAAUCUCGGCCUGCAGUUUCCCGCCUUCCCCAAUUCAAUGCGGUGGCUCGGGCUGCACAAUAUUCAACAGCCAAGGCCUCUGGGAAGACAGGGCCCCUUGCAGAGCUUCAAAGUCUGUAUACCCCACAACAGAAGCAGAACUGGUGGCGGCCGUAGCAGAGGCGGUGAAAAACAAGCAGAAGAUCAAUGUGCUGGGUCCAUGGGCGCACAGCACAACGAAGCUCGCCUGUGUGGGGGAGGGCGGUCUGGUGGUGAGCACCCGGGAUUAUGCCUCCACACGGCGGGUCGAUGUCCGUGCCCGAACCAUAACUGUUGAUGCAGGUGUCGUUCUGCGAGACCUGAUUGAUGAGGCUGCUUCAAAUGGACUGGCUUUCCCUACCUCGACCUCUUGGGAUGGUGUUUCAAUGGCCGGGUCGGUCAGUACAGGUGCCCAUGGGAGUAGCUUGGCGGGAAAGGGGUCUGCUAUUUAUGAAUAUGUGGUGGGAAUGCGGCUCGUUGUCGCAGCAACGGCUGAUCAGGGGUUUGCUAGGGUUGUGGAAUUGGGGGAUUCUGAUGAAGAUCUUAUGGCUGCAAGGCUUUCUCUGGGGACUUUGGGGGUGAUCUCGCAGAUUACCUUUGCCCUGGAGCCUAUGUUUAAGAGGAGUGUUUCGUUAAGGUUGGAGGAUGAUUUGGGGUUGGAGGAUCGGAUUGAGGGGUUUUUGAGAGGUUAUGAGUUUGGGAUUGUUUAUUGGUAUGUUGCCCAUGGCAAGUCGCUCAUGGAGGAGAUUGAUAGGGUGCCUGUGGAUGUAGCCGGGAAUGGUGUUAACAAAGCGUCCUAUCAGCCUACCACUGUGUUCAAAGUAGAGCAAACUGCUGCCAAGUACGACACAUUCGAAGCCGAAAAGGAUGCAGAUGCGCUAUGUGGCGAAAGCGGGAAAUCAAUGGAAAACAAGGUAGCCAAAGGCGGGGGAUUUCUCAACGAUGGCGAAAACUUCACAGGCUAUCCCGUUGUGGGCUUCAACGAUCUUAUGCAGACAACAGGGGGGUGCCAAUUCUACCAUCCAAUGCAGCGAGACAGCGAACCCUCUUCCUGCAUGCCCACCACAAUCUCAGACAAAAACCAGUCCAUCUGCUCAUGGGACAGACGGGCGGAGGGCAGGAUAAAAUUUGACCUAGAAAUCAGAGUUCCCCUAGCACGGGUGCGCGAGGCCAUGUUGGAUGUGAAAAGAAUCAGAGAUCUUAACCCGCAGGCUCUCUGCGCAGUUGAAGGCUCGGGCAUCGGAAUGCGCAGUGUAAGGAAAUCCGCAGGGGCAUUCCUUGGACCGGCCGAGGAUGUGGUGACUUUUGAGACCAGCUAUUACAGGUCGCCCGAGGCGUUCGUUCCGACAUGGAACAUGGACGUUUUUCAGGAGAUCGAGCAAAUGUUGAUUGAGAAGUACGGUGGCGGCCUGCAUUGGGGGAAAUCUGGGGGUCAUUUGUUUGACGGCCUGGCAAACAAAACCCUAAAUUUGCAGAGGUUUUUGGCUGUGAAGGAGAGGCUGGAUCCUGACGGGCUGUUUUCCAAUGACUGGACUGAUGGUUUGUUGGGAAUUGCGGGGAAAAAAGUGGAGGUUUUGAAGAAGGGUUGUGCGUUGGAGAAACUGUGCAAAUGCAGAGAGGAUGAUCACUGUGCGCCGGAAAAGGGAUACGUUUGCGCUCCAGGGCGGGUGUGGACCAACGCUCGGGUUUGCAGGAAAGUAGCUUUCCGAUUUAAACCUUCCCUAUUUUCACAGUUUAGGACUUAAUUAAAAAUUUUUUUUCUUCAUUUUUUUUAGAGAAAUCUGUGUUUUUAGUUUUGGUGUAAAUAAAUAGAGAUUAUUCUUUAGUAGGACAAGGAUCUAUAAUUCUUUUUAACUUUAUUUAAAAAUAAAAGAAUUAAAAAUUUCAUUUAUUAUUGUGAAGGGUCACACAAGUUAUUGUGUGCUCGAAAUGUAUUUUUUAAGAGUUUUCUUGAAUAAAAUUUGGAGAGUUUGUAUUGAUCCAAGUUACAUUCUUUUGACAAAGCUUUGCAAUUGCAUAUAAUAUAUCUUGAUCUUAAUGUAAGAAUCUAACUCUAGUGGUGGUGCUUCAAAGGAGUUUGUUAAAUUACAAGGUUGGACAAGCUUUUAAGUAAAUCAAGGCUCUCUUAACAAUAUAAGAUGACAAAGGUAAUGAGCAUGGCCAUUUUUGAAAGCAAAGAGCCUUCUAUCACUAGGGUAUGUUGAAACACAAGCUCCUUUAUGCUCUCCCAUACAGCUUUGAUGUGGGUAACAUGCUUACCUUGGCAUUAAUGAAACAUUUAUAGAAGGAAAGCUUGUAGAUAUGGUAGAGGGCAAUGAGAGGGAAGUUAAACUUUUUUUAGUUGGACUACAUGGAGAUUUUAAAAAAUUUUUUUUUUGCCUUUAAUCCAAGCUUAUUUCUAUGUUGUGACUUCUCUUUGUUUGUGUUUCAACUAGACACCACAUCGUGAGGAGCACCUUUACACAAAUUAUUUGGGUAGAUUCUUCUCUACUCAAUCUUAGAAUUGAUGGCUUCUAGCACUUUAUAUUUUGCUUCUUGCCUUUUGCUAUACAAGGCCAAUUUUGUGUAAUCAUCCUCUAUGUUAGUCCUAAAAUUAGGAGUCAAACACAUAUAGCCACCACAGUAAAGAGAGUUGGGGGUUCCAUUUACCUUUUUAAUAGAGAACUGUAAAAAAAGAGUGUCGGAGGUUCAAUAAACAAAGAGCUAAUUGAAAUCUCCAAUUUUCUUUUUGUUAUAUAAUUCUAUACAAAGAAAAUACUUAUGCAUUAUAUAACAUCUAAGUUACUGAUUUGUUGCACAAGUCAUCUAGGGAGAAACAUUUGCAUUGUGGGUCCAUCUUGAAUGAACCUAGAAGGGCCCACAAGAAUCCAAAAUGAACUUAUGUCAUUUUGAGCACUUUUUAAAAUUUCUUUUUGCAUUUUAAAUUUAUUUUUGACAUUUGAUUUUGACUAUAAUGGAUAGAAACAAAUUCCUAACCCUAGAAGUGACAUCUAAAGCAUUUGGAGCACUAAAACAAACUAGUUUUACCUUAUUGCGAAUGCAAAAUACAAAAUCUAUUCAUUAUUGCUUGCCAUUGUGAAUCCACAAAAAUCCAAAAUAAAUUUAAAAAAUGAAAAAAAAAACAAAAACUUACCAUUUUUGCAAAAAUAUUUCUCAACAAUCUUCAUGGUAGCAAAUGGGUUCUUGCACAUGUUUAGGAGUAGAAAGCUAACCACUUUGGGACUUUCAUUGAUCAAUCUUGAGUGUGAUGGUAAGCAAGAAUGAAAGUUUAGAAAGAACAAUUUUUUUGUGUUUUCUAUUCAUGAUGAGGUAAAACUAGCUUGCUUUAGUCUUUAAGAUAUUUUUAGGGUUAGGGAUUUACUUUUUUCUAUCAUAUUAAGCCAAAUAGUAAAAUAAAUUUUAAAAAUCUAAAAUGACAUGAGUUUGUUAUGAGUUCCCGUGGAUCCUUUUGGGAUUGCUAUGCACUUGCCUAGGUUUGUUUGGGCUUAUGCUAUAACAUAGAGUUGAUGGAGUGGACAACAGAAGGUGUUGACAAGAUUGGUAAAUAUUGCUUCUCAACCAAUAAAUUCAUAGCUCUAUAAUUUUUGGUGUUGUCCUUUAUGACUUGAACAAUAUUUAAGGCACAACUUCAUUAAUGACACAUAUGAGGAUAGUAAACACUUGGAUCUCUUUAGACUUGGUUUAUGUUUGUUUAUGAAAUCAAUUUUGGUAUCAGUCUUUUGUAACUCGAGGUUAAGAGAGGGACAACACAAGGUGUUUAAAAAGAUUUGUAAAUAAUGCUCCUUGACCAAUAAACCAAUUUCUCUAUGGUUUUUCAUGGUUUGUUACAACUCGAACAAUGUUUCAAGGCCUCACUUCUUCAAUGGCACUCAUAAGGAAGGUUAACAUUCAAAUCUCUUUGGCCUUGAAAUAUGUGUAUUUGACCAAAUCAAUUUUGGUGUUAAUCCUUUGUAGCAUAAGAUUGAGGGAGUGGACAACACAUGGUAUCGAAAGGACUUAUAACGAAGUCUCCUCAACCAAUAAAUGAGGUGCUCUAAUUUUUGGUAUUGGCCAUUAUGACAUGACAAAGUCCCACUUCUUCAGUGAUAGUAUGAGGAUGUUGGCAAUCAAUGCACCAUCCUUCACCACCUCCUCAUAGUCCAAUAAUCUAGAAAACAUUUCCCAUAUAAAGGGGCAUUGCAAUGACAUUAAUCCAUGGUCAAUUUUUUGUGUUCCAUCCAUUGGGAAAGAUGGACACCCUUGCCUUGGCUCACAAGUUCCAUACAAAUUUUAGGUGAAUGAAUCCUCUACAAGCUACACCUCCUUUUCCAUUAAGGGGCUUCAAACCUUAGGCUCUUGUACCACUGUUGGAGCCUCAUUAGUGUUUCUGACAUUUUCUUGCUAAUACGACGAGUGAGCAACAUUGAAAGCCAAUUCAUUCGCUUAGAUAUAUCUCACAAUUUUUUGAUUAGCAAUCUUUGAAGAUUCAUUGUGAAAUGUUAUUUCCAAUAAUCGUUUUGAUCUAUAAUGUGUAAAAUCCAUAAGUUUUUCUUUAGGUGUGGCAUACAUCACAUGAAUGGUUUUGAGCUUAAAUACUUGUCACCACAUCUAUUGCAAAUCCACACAUAACCCCCAUCACCUAAAAUUCAGUGCACCAUUUCAACACACUUCUAAAGAGGAGAAUUUGUGUUUGUCUUGUCGACAAAGCUAGAACUACUUGCCAUUGCAAUCACUAUAGCAACAAGUUUGAUAAGCAACACAUUUGAAACAAAUGAAAAUUAUGUGUAACCUUUUAUUUACAAAAUUGAAGUAUAUGCUAUAAAUACAUGAAAGAACAUAAACAAUUUUUUUUUACCUCUUUUGCAAAUAUCUUCCUUUACAAUCUCUUUGGUAACAAAUGGGAUAUUCCUCUUGUAGGAAUAAAAUAUCAACCACUUUAGAACCUUCACUUAUCAAUCUUCAAUUCUAUUUGUGCGAUAGUAAGCAACACAACAAACAAAGAAAAUAUUAGAGAGAGAAGAAAAAACACUCUUUUACAAAUAUCUUCUUGUACAAUCUCCUUGGUAAUGAGUGUGCUAUUCCACACAUAGGAAUAGCAAAUCAACCACUUUAGAACCUUCAUGGAUCAAUCUUUAACUCUAUUUGUACAAUAUCCUUGGCAAUGAAUGGGUUAUUCCAUAUGUAUGAAUACCAAACCAACCACUCUAGAACCUUCACAAAUCAAUCUUUAACUCUAUUUGUACAAUAGCAAGCAAAACUGACAAUGAAUAAAUUUUCUGUUUUACAUUUAUAGUGAGAUAAAACUAGUUUGGAUAAAAUCAAAUAUUAACGAUGAUUGUUAUUUUAUUUUUUUAAGUGGGAAAAAAUAAUGUGGGUUUGUUUUGGUUCCUGCAGUUCCUUCUUGGUUCAUUGUGAGUUCAUCUAGAUUAGUUUAGGAGAGAGACAAAACAAAUGCCCCACUUCAACAAAUCAUUAACUAAGCCUGAUAGACAAACAAGCGCAAAUUUGUAAUAAUAUUUUAAACACACAUAUGCAAAUGCAAAUAAAAACUUAGCAGCGUGUUUACAUCGAGUAUAGACAUAAGUUGUUCUUAUAUAGAAAAAGUAAAUAAUUAGUUAGAAACUAAACGUGUUCUUCAAAUGAGAUAGAGUUUAUUGGUUUCUCUAACCUAGUUAUCAUUGGUUGUGAUGACCUAUAUAUUUGAACUAUAUAUUUUUUUGUGUCUUUUAAACAAAAUAACUUUCUGUGCAACUUUUCAAAUUGUUUUCAAAUUCCCUUGGACAAUUUAGAGCAAGGCUUAAUACCUUUUUGUAGACUAUUUUAGAAUUUACUUAGAGUGCUAUGUCAUGUUUUAAGCAUUCAAAAGGCUUGUGUUUAGUCUAUUAUAGAAUACAAUUGUAAUUUAUAAAUUGAGAUUUUUUUAUAUUGAAAACAAUGCAAGAAUGAAAAUAGUCACAAUAAGAGGGCAGCAAAGAGGUUGCCAUCAAUAUCAAAAUAGUUGUCUAGUAAAUCCAACAAUAAUAAACUCAAACAAGGUACAAACCUCAAUAAAUUCCGAUUUGACGUGGAGUCAAUAGAGCAAUUUUUUUUAAUUGGUAAAAUUUAAUUAAUUUAAAAAUAAUUAAAAUUUUCGAAAAAAGUAAAAUUAAUGUAAAAUACAAUUACAAAAUGUAUUAAAUGAGUUUGGUGAGGUUCAAAGGCAACAUCUCCAGUGGGAGAUCUCAGGGCAACAUCCCUUGCAUGAAUUGAGAGGCAGUACCCCCAUCAGGGUUUGUGGGUGGAGACACUACCACCAAUUCUAAAUGAAGACCUUCAAAAUCAUAUAUUUUUUUCGUGUACACUUAUUAUAUAAUUUUCUAAUUUGACAAAAUCUAAAUAAAAUUAAAAAAAAUUACAUUUUAGAAUGUUUAAUCCCCUUUUUUCACUUGCAAUAGGAUUUGAAGGUUCAAACUCUCGAAUACUAGCUCAAAAAUCAACCAAGAAUUGUCAAAAACCCACCAAAAACUUUGAAUUAAUUCAAAAAAAUUACUCUAUUUUUUUCAUGAAUCUACUAACUAUGCAUACAACACUAAAAUUGUUGUCACAAGUGAAAAUACAACUUUUUAGCCAAAUGAUGUGGUAUUCUUCUUCGAUGCAAAUGAUGUGAUAUUCUUCUUUCAAUGCAAACAUUGUGUAUUUGCAUAGAUCAUAACCAACUAUUAUUAACAACUUAUAUUCUAGAGACAUGUCUAUUUCCUAUAAACAUAAUUAACAUUAUAAUAAUUAUUUAGAACAUGUUAUAUUCUAAAGAAAAAAAACUCAUAUUGUCAUGCUAUGUUGGACAUGUCUUUCUAUUCUUAUUUCAAUGCAAACAUUGUGUAUUUGCACACAACAUGACUUAUAUUUUAGAAAUAUGUCCAUUUCAUAAAAACAUAAUUGACAUUAUAAUAAUUAUUUAGAACAUCAUCUAUAAUAUAUGUGCUUACCGAAACAAUUAUAUAUGUGUGUGUGUCUGUGUGUUUUAUCAUUCUUAAGAUUACAUUAUAAGUUGUAUUCAUUGAUGUUUUAAAUAGUAUCAAAUAACAUUUACAUAUAUUAUAGUUGUGUUAUUUCUUGUUUGACAAUUUUAUUGUAAUUGUAUAGUCUAUGUUUCACCCAGCCUUAAAUCUCAUCACAUAAUCUUUGAGCUAUUCUAUUGUAUAAAAGAUUCAAACCUGUCAAAAACCUAUUCUAUCUUAAUCAAAAGUAUUUAUAUAAGCUUUGAGUUAUUUUAUUAUAUAAAAGAUUUGAACUUGUCAAAAACCUAUUCUAUUUUAAUCAAAAGUAUUUACAUAAGAAGUUGAAGUCUAUUCUAUCUUAAUCAAAAGUAUUUGCAUAAGAAGUUGAAGUAACUGAUAUGAAACUAAUUGAUUACCAUAUAAUUCUUUUUUUUUGAAAAAUCAUGGAUGAUCUUAUGAAUCUUCAUGUUGGUAUUGUUUUUAUUUUCCUAACUUGUUUAGGUUAUUGGACAUAAUUACACUUUCUUUCAAGUAACUAUGAGUGUAAGGCAAUAACUCUAGAUUUGAAGCAUGUUAACUUCAAGAAAAUAUAAUUUUAAAAUGCUUUUCAAACAAAAGUUGUUCUUAAAAAAUUAUUUAAAAUGAUAUAUUAUAUUUUUGAUGUUGAAGUUUGAGCGAAUGGAAUGUAUAUUGAAAUAUUAGCUAUGGUUUUCAUUAUUCCAUCAUGGAAUUUUUUUUAUUUUUAUUGUUGUUAAUACAUUGUAAUAAUAAACAAGCAAAAUGCUGAUACAGUUCUAUAAAAUAUAUCAAUAAUUUUUUGCCAAUUUCCUUAAGUGAGUCAUCUAACUUGUUAUUCUAUUUCACAGGUAUUCUGUAGAACAUUUAGAGAGCUCACAAACAAAUGAGGGAAAUGGAGAAGUUGACUAUUUGUCCAAUGUGGCUUGCGAUCUGGAACCCCAAACUAUCUGAUGGUGGGAUAGCUCAGAUGAGGAGGUGAUAUGAGAGAUUUAAUCGAGUGAGGUUAUUAUUGCUUUUAGAUUUUGUAGUACUCCCAACAUCUUUUCACCUCAUGUGUCGUGUUUUUGAGGUAGUCUUAUUCUUGCAUCAUUAAAUCAUCUCCUUAAUUUGUCAUCAAAACAAUGAAUUUUGGGAUUGGUGGUAAGUGAGGUGGCACGCUUCAUGUCA